GAAAAAGUGCGAUGAAUGACUUGGAUAAGUUUCGGCUGAAACUUGGUGAUGCCAACUUUUUAAAACUGCUGAGCACUUUUUC
ensembl:snoRNA F54C9.12 ncRNA